AGUUAUUUAGCUUAUAUAAAGCAAGUAUUUUGAAAAUACUAGAAAGAUGAUAUUUAAUAACUU
rnacentral:tRNA from 1 species